CAGCAGCCGCGGUAAUACGUAGGGAGCAAACGUUGUCCGGAUUUAUUGGGCGUAAAGGGCUCGUAGGCGGUUUAACAAGUCGCUCGUGAAAGCCCGGGGCUCAACCCCGGGACGCCGGUCGAAACUGUUGUGACUAGAGUGCGGUAGAGGUGAGUGGAAUUCUCGGUGUAGCGGUGGAAUGCGCAGAUAUCGAGAGGAACACCAUUAGCGAAGGCGGCUCACUGGGCCGGUACUGACGCUGAGGAGCGAAAGCGUGGGGAGCAAACAGGAUUAGAAACCCUGGUAGUCCACGCCGUAAACGAUGAACACUAGGUGUGGCGGACUGAUUCAUGUCUGCUGUGCCGUAGCUAACGCAUUAAGUGUUCCGCCUGGGGAGUACGGCCGCAAGGCUAAAACUCAAAGGAAUUGACGGGGCCCCGCACAAGCGGCGGAGCAUGCGGCUUAAUUCGAUGCAACCCGAAGAACCUUACCUGGGUUUGACAUCAUGGGUCCCGCUGUGGAAACACAGUGUGCUUACGCGCCCAUGACAGGUGGUGCAUGGCUGUCGUCAGCUCGUGUCGUGAGAUGUUGGGUUAAGUCCCGCAACGAGCGCAACCCUUGUCCUAUGUUGCCAGCACGUAAUGGUGGGGACUCAUGGGAGACUGCCGGGGACAACUCGGAGGAAGGCGAGGACGAUGUCAAGUCAUCAUGCCCCUUAUAUCCAGGGCUGCACGCAUGCUACAAUGGGCGAUACAAUGGGCAGCGAUCCCGCGAGGGUCAGCCAAUCCCGUAAAGUCGUCCUCAGUUCGGAUUGGAGUCUGCAACUCGACUCCAUGAAGCCGGAGUCGCUAGUAAUCGUGGAUCAGCAAAGCCACGGUGAAUACGUUCUCGGGGCUUGUACACACCGCCCGUCACAUCACGGAAGUCGGUAACACCCGAAGUCAGUGGCCUAACCCUUGUGGAAGGAGCUGCCGAAGGUGGGAUUGGUGACUGGGAUGAAGUCGUAACAAGGUAACCGUA
rnacentral:rRNA from 1 species